UACGUAGGGUGCGAGCGUUGCCCGGAUUUAUUGGGCGUAAAGAGCGUGUAGGCGGCCACACAGGUCUGCUGUGAAACUCGAGGCUCAACCUCGAGCUGUCGGUGGAAACCGUGUGGCUAGAGUCCGGAAGAGGAGAGUGGAAUUCCCGGUGUAGCGGUGAAAUGCGCAGAUAUCGGGAAGAACACCCGUGGCGAAGGCGGCUCUCUGGGACGGUACUGACGCUGAGACGCGAAAGCGUGGGAGCGAACGAGG
rnacentral:rRNA from 1 species